rnacentral:rRNA from 1 species
CCUACGGGUGGCUGCAGUGGGGAAUAUUGGGCAAUGGGCGCAAGCCUGACCCAGCAACGCCGCGUGAAGGAAGAAGGCUUUCGGGUUGUAAACCUCUUUUGUCAGGGAGCAACGCCGGCUACGUGUAGCCGGACUGAGAGUACCUGAAGAAAAAGCAUCGGCUAACUCCGUGCCAGCAGCCGCGGUAAUACGGAGGAUGCGAGCGUUAUCCGGAUUUAUUGGGUUUAAAGGGUGCGUAGGCGGAAUGCCAAGUCAGCGGUAAAAUCGCGGGGCUCAACCUCGCUCCGCCGUUGAAACUGGCGUUCUUGAGUGGGCGAGAAGUAUGCGGAAUGCGUGGUGUAGCGGUGAAAUGCAUAGAUAUCACGCAGAACUCCGAUUGCGAAGGCAGCAUACCGGCGCCCAACUGACGCUGAAGCACGAAAGCGUGGGUAUCGAACAGGAUUAGAUACCCCAGUAGUC